CAUGAGCACGAAGCUGAUUCUCGUAGGAUGGCGCACACGCGAGGCGGUCUGAAGACCGCCCGGCGAUAGCCACGUGUGCGCGAGACAAAGGGCCCCUGGAGGCCCUUUUUUAUUGCCGAAA
rnacentral:sRNA from 1 species